rnacentral:rRNA from 1 species
GAUGAACGCUGGCGGCGUGCCUAAUACAUGCAAGUCGAGCGAACGGACGAGAAGCUUGCUUCUCUGAUGUUAGCGGCGGACGGGUGAGUAACACGUGGAUAACCUACCUAUAAGACUGGGAUAACUUCGGGAAACCGGAGCUAAUACCGGAUAAUAUUUUGAACCGCAUGGUUCAAAAGUGAAAGACGGUCUUGCUGUCACUUAUAGAUGGAUCCGCGCUGCAUUAGCUAGUUGGUAAGGUAACGGCUUACCAAGGCAACGAUGCAUAGCCGACCUGAGAGGGUGAUCGGCCACACUUGAACUGAGACACGGUACAGACUCCUACGGGAGGCAGCAGUAGGGAAUCUUCCGCAAUGGGCGAAAGCCUGACGGAGCAACGCCGAGUGAGUGAUGAAGGUCUUCGGAUCGUAAAACUCUGUUAUUAGGGAAGAACAUAUGUGUAAGUAAAUGUGAACAUCAUGACGGUACCUAAUCAGAAAGCCACGGCUAACUACGUG